UACGUAGGUGGCAAGCGUUGUCCGGAUUUACUGGGCGUAAAGAGCGCGCAGGCGGUCGGAUAAGUCGAAUGUGAAAGCCCCCGGCUCAACUGGGGAGGGUCAUUCGAUACUGGUCGACUCGAAGGCAGGAGAGGGAAGUGGAAUUCCCGGUGUAGUGGUGAAAUGCGUAGAUAUCGGGAGGAACACCAGUGGCGAAGGCGACUUCCUGGCCUGUUCUUGACGCUGAGGCGCGAAAGCUAGGGGAGCAAACGGG
rnacentral:rRNA from 1 species